rnacentral:tRNA from 1 species
CGGGGCAUAGCGCAGCCUGGUAGCGCGCUUGCUUGGGGUGCAAGAGGUCUCGAGUUCAAAUCUCGAUGCCCCGACCA